rnacentral:siRNA from 1 species
GCUACGCGAACGUUACGG